rnacentral:rRNA from 1 species
GCCUAACACAUGCAAGUCGAACGGUAACAGGAAGCAGCUUGCUGCUUCGCUGACGAGUGGCGGACGGGUGAGUAAUGUCUGGGAAACUGCCUGAUGGAGGGGGAUAACUACUGGAAACGGUAGCUAAUACCGCAUAACGUCGCAAGACCAAAGAGGGGGACCUUCGGGCCUCUUGCCAUCGGAUGUGCCCAGAUGGGAUUAGCUAGUAGGUGGGGUAACGGCUCACCUAGGCGACGAUCCCUAGCUGGUCUGAGAGGAUGACCAGCCACACUGGAACUGAGACACGGUCCAGACUCCUACGGGAGGCAGCAGUGGGGAAUAUUGCACAAUGGGCGCAAGCCUGAUGCAGCCAUGCCGCGUGUAUGAAGAAGGCCUUCGGGUUGUAAAGUACUUUCAGCGGGGAGGAAGGGAGUAAAGUUAAUACCUUUGCUCAUUGACGUUACCCACAGAAGAAGCACCGGCUAACUCCGUGCCAGCAGCCGCGGUAAUACGGAGGGUGCAAGCGUUAAUCGGAAUUACUGGGCGUAAAGCGCACGCAGGCGGUGUGUUAAGUCAGAUGUGAAAUCCCCGGGCUCUACCUGGGAACUGCAUCUGAUACUGGCUCGCUUGAGUCUCUUAGAGAGGGGUAGAAUUCCAGCUGUAGCGGUGAAAUGCGUAGAGAUCUGGAGGAAUACCGGUGGCGAAGGCGGCCCCCUGGACGAAGACUGACGCUCAGGUGCGAAAGCGUGGGGAGCAAACAGGAUUAGAUACCCUGGUAGUCCACGCCGUAAACGAUGUCGACUUGGAGGUUGUGCCCUUGAGGCGUGGCUUCCGGAGCUAACGCGUUAAGUCGACCGCCUGGGGAGUACGGCCGCAAGGUUAAAACUCAAAUGAAUUGACGGGGGCCCGCACAAGCGGUGGAGCAUGUGGUUUAAUUCGAUGCAACGCGAAGAACCUUACCUGGUCUUGACAUCCACGGAAGUUUUCAGAGAUGAGAAUGUGCCUUCGGGAACCGUGAGACAGGUGCUGCAUGGCUGUCGUCAGCUCGUGUUGUGAAAUGUUGGGUUAAGUCCCGCAACGAGCGCAACCCUUAUCCUUUGUUGCCAGCGGUCCGGCCGGGAACUCAAAGGAGACUGCCAGUGAUAAACUGGAGGAAGGUGGGGAUGACGUCAAGUCAUCAUGGCCCUUACGACCAGGGCUACACACGUGCUACAAUGGCGCAUACAAAGAGAAGCGACCUCGCGAGAGCAAGCGGACCUCAUAAAGUGCGUCGUAGUCCGGAUUGGAGUCUGCAACUCGACUCCAUGAAGUCGGAAUCGCUAGUAAUCGUGGAUCAGAAUGCCGCGGUGAAUACGUUCCCGGGCCUUGUACACACCGCCCGUCACACCAUGGGAGUGGGUUGCAAAAGAAGUAGGUAGCUUAACCUUCGGGAGGGCGCUUACCACUUUGUGAUUCAUGACUGGGGUGAA